rnacentral:rRNA from 1 species
GCAUGCCUACAACAUAGUGUUAAUGCACCGAAUCCUAUUAGAACUCCCCAGUUAAGCGUGCUCAUGCUAGAGUAGUAUUGGGAUGGGUGACCACCUAGGAAUCCCUAGUGUUUUACAUGUC